AUUAAAUCAUAAGAAGAAAAUCACGUCCUUCUCCUUUUCUCUAGACUUGAUUGGAUUGUUUGCUCAUUGGAAAGUAAAAUAUUCUUACUGAAUUAGAGGAUCCCCAUGCAAAGCACCCCAUCAACCCAAAUACAGAUUACCAGCAGAGCAGCUUGAUAUAAAUGUGACGUGGAAGGCAAGAAAGAAGCUACCAGACUUGAAUACUGCAGCCUGUCAACCUGCUUGCCUAUCAUGCUAAUAAUAUGUUUGUGCUGAUUUAGAUUAGUUCAUUAAUAUAUUAAUGGGUAGAUUUAGUAGUAUAGUUAAGAGCUGUAAUGCAAGAAAUCUGCUAAAGGCCGUUUGCAAGAUCAGCAGAAGCUAGGGUUAGCAUAUUUCUGUGGUUGAGACACUGAUCUCACCCAGAUAUAGGUCAUAGCUUAUUUAGAGCUUCCGUAGACUGAAAAGGGGAACUUAUGUCUGGGACCUUUCACCCACAUAGGAUGGUAGGGAAAAUACCCUUAGACUCAGCAGAUGCAUCAUUAUAUAAAAAAGUCGCAAAAUAACUGGUUCAGGCUGAGCUGAAGUAAUCAGGACACAGGAUAUGAUAAAUAACCACAGAGGC